UACGUAGGGACCAAGCGUUGUUCGGAUUUACUGGGCGUAAAGGGCGCGUAGGCGGCAAUUCAAGUCAUCUGUGAAAUCUCCGGGCUUAACUCGGAACGGUCAGAUGAUACUGCUUUGCUAGAGUGCGGAAGGGGCAAUCGGAAUUCUUGGUGUAGCGGUGAAAUGCGUAGAUAUCAAGAGGAACACCUGAGGUGAAGACGGGUUGCUGGGCCGACACUGACGCUGACAGCGCGAAAGCCAGGGAGCAAACGGG
rnacentral:rRNA from 1 species